rnacentral:rRNA from 1 species
AUGGCUACCAUCGCCGCUCCUCCGGCCGCUCUGCAGCCAUGCGAGCACGCAAGGCGGCCGGGCGGCGCGCUCCGGCCACCUCCUCGCGCGUGGAGUGGGAGGAGGAGGUGCUGCCAGGUGAUACGAGCCACGGCGACCUCCCGCGGCCGACCCUCGGCGACGGGCAGCGGGCAGCUGGAGAGCACUGCGCUCGGUGCGUCGGCGGGCGGCGAGGACGGCGACGUGAUCCGGAGGCUGCAGAACGGGCCGGACGUGCGCGGCGUGGCGCUGGAAGGCGAGAAGGGCCGGGCCGUGGACCUCACGCCGCUGGCCGUCGAGGUGAUCGGCGAGAGCUUCGGGGAGUGGCUGCGGGAUCAGCGGCCGGAGGGCGAGGACGGGGAGCAGCUGCGGGUGUCCGUCGGCCGGGACCCCCGGCUGUCCGGGUCGCGGCUCAGCGCGGUGCUGUUCGCGGGGCUGGCCAAGGCGGGCUGCGCCGUCUUCGACAUGGGCCUCGCCACCACGCCGGCGUGCUUCAUGAGCACCAUACUGCCGCGCUUCAGCUACGACGCGUCCAUUAUGAUGACCGCGUCGCAUCUCCCCUACACCCGCAACGGCCUCAAGUUCUUCACCAAGCGCGGCGGGCUAUCCUCGGUGGAGGUCGAAGGGAUCUGCGACCGCGCGGCACGCAAGUACGUCGCGAGGAAGAUGGGCCUCGGCGGCGGCGGCCUCGGCAUGCCUCCGGUGGUCAUGCGCGUCGACCUCAUGAGCGCCUACGCGCAGCACCUCCGGGACAUCAUCAAGGAGCGCGUCGCCCACCCGACCCACUACGACACCCCGCUGGAGGGCUUCAAGGUGAUCGUGAACGCCGGCAACGGCUGCGGCGGCUUCUUCGCGUGGGACGUGCUGGAGAAGCUGGGCGCCGACACGACCGGCAGCCUGCACCUGGAGCCGGACGGCAUGUUCCCGAACCACAUGCCCAACCCGGAGGACGCGACGGCCAUGUCGCUCACGCGCGGCGCGGUGCUGGCCCGCGGCGCGGACCUCGGCGUGGUGUUCGACACGGACGUGGACCGCAGCGGCGUGGUGGACGGCGCGGGCGCCGCCAUCAACGGGGACCGCCUCAUCGCGCUCAUCUCCGCCAUCGUGCUGGCGGAGCACCCCGGGACGACGGUGGUGACGGACGCGCGCGCGGGCGACGGGCUCACGCGGUUCAUCGAGGCGCGGGGCGGGCGGCACUGCCUGUACCGCGUCGGCUACCGCAACGUGAUCGACAAGGGCGCGCAGCUCAACGCGGACGGCGUGGAGACGCACGUUAUGAUGGAGACCACCGGGCACGGCGCGCUCCGGGAGAACCACUUCCUCGACGACGGCGCGUACAUGGUGGUGAAGAUCAUCAUCGAGAUGGUCCGGAUGAGGCUGGCCGGGCUGGAGGGCGGGGUCGGGGGCCUCAUCCGGGACCUGGAGGAGCCCGCCGAGUCCGUGCUGCUGAGGAUGGACAUCGUGGGCGAACCCAAGAGCGCGAAACAACGGGGCGUCGACGCGGUCGAGGCUUUCAAGAAAUACAUCGAGGAAGGGAAGCUUAGCGGCUGGGUGCUGGAUGAUUGUGGCGACUGCUGGGUUGAUGAGGGAUGCCUUGUGGACAACAACGACCAUCCAAUCGACGUUGACGCCUACAUGUACAGAGCAAAGUUCUACGACGAGUCCCAGAGACCGCUAGGGUGGGUUCACAUUCGCCAGAGUGUUCAUAACCCCAAUAUAGCACUCAACCUGCAGUCUUGUGUUCCCGGUGGUUGCAGAUCCAUGGCAGUGGAUCUAUUUGAAAGGUUUUUGUUGACAAGUGGGGUGAAUGAGUUUGUUGACACCAGCGAAGUGCAGAAAUUUGUGAAGUAG